UACAGAGACUGCAAGCGUUAUUCGGAUUCACUGGGCGUAAAGGGUGCGCAGGCGGCCAAGUGUGUUAGGUGUGAAAGCCCGGGGCUUAACCCCGGAAUUGCACCUAAAACUACAUGGCUAGAGCAUUGGAGAGGGGAUCAGAAUUCACGGUGUAGCAGUGAAAUGCGUAGAUAUCGUGAGGAAUACCAGAGGCGAAGGCGGCUCCCUGGACAAUUGCUGACGCUCAGGCACGAAAGCGUGGGGAGCAAAAGGG
rnacentral:rRNA from 1 species